UACGGAGGGUGCAAGCAUUAAUCGGAUUUAUUGGGCAUAAAGGGCGCGUAGGCGGGAGAGAAAGUUAGAUGUGAAAGCCUGAGGCUUAACCUCAGAACAGCAUCUAAACCUUCUUUUCUAGAGGAUGAGCGGGGAAAAGGGAAUUCCACAUGUAGCGGUGAAAUGCGUAGAUAUGUGGAGGAACACCGGUGGCGAAGGCGCUUUUCUAGCUUAGACCUGACGCUGAGGCGCGAAAGCAAGGGGAGCAAACAGG
rnacentral:rRNA from 1 species